GGAUUCAUGCAUCAGUUGGUAGAGCAUCGCACUGGUAACGAGGAGGUCAUGGGUUCAUCUCCUGUUGAAGCCU